CGUAGAAAGCCAGACCGAGGGGGCUUUACGUCGGAUUGCUGAAUACCACUGCUGACAGGUGUUGCUACGAUACCCUCCACGGUGGAGGAGCUCAGACCUCAAGAAGCUGGUGUCUAGCAGCGACCCAGAGCAACGAUGGGCAGUCCGGUAUUCAGGAGACCUUUCUGCCAUCUCUCCACCUACAGCCUGAUUUGGGGCAUGGCAACGGUAGCGCUGGGCACAGCUCAAGUGGAAGUGGUGACGCAGGAUGAGAGAAAACUGCUGCACACACCUGCAUCCUUAAGGUGUUCUCUGAAACUCUCCCAGGAACCCUUGAUUGUGACAUGGCAGAAAAAGAAAGCUGUAAGCCCAGAAAACAUGGUCACUUACAGCAAAGCCCAUGGAGUUGUAGUCCAGCCUGCAUACAGAGACAGGGUAAACAUCACUGAGCUGGGACUCUGGAACACAAGCAUCACCUUCUGGAACACAACCCUGGACGAUGAGGGCUGCUACAUGUGUCUCUUCAAUACUUUUGUUUCUGGGAAGAUCUCAGGGACAGCCUGCCUCACCCUGUAUGUACAGCCCAUAGUAUUCCUUCACUACAACUAUUUUGAAGACCACCUAAACAUCACUUGCUCUGCGACUGCCCGCCCAGCCCCUGCCAUAGCCUGGAAGGGCACUGGGACUGGAAUAGAGAAUAGUACCGAGAGUCACUUGCACUCAAAUGGGACCACGUCUGUCACCAGCAUUCUCCGGGUCAAAGACCCCAAGACUCAGAUUGGGAAGGAGGUGAUAUGCCAGGUUUUACACCUCGGUACUGUGAUUGACUACAAGCAGACUCUGGACAAAGGAUUUUGGUUUUCAGUUCCACUGUUGCUAAGCAUUGUUUCUCUGGUGAUUCUUCUGGUCUUGAUCUCAAUCUUAUUAUACUGGAAACGUCACCGAAAUCAGGAGCGAGGUGAGUCGUCACAAGGCAUGCAAAGGAUGAAAUAAGUUCUUUUAAUUGGAACCUCAAUUCUAACUACUUCCUGCUUCUCUCGACUCAUAUACUCCUCAAAGCAGCAAGUAUUGCUUAGUCAUAGAACCCUAGAGAAUUAUCCAGAACCCUGAAAGUUUUUCCCUGGUCUACUUGAAUCUGAUGUGAAAGGAAAGCAGGAGGGAAAGUCAUUCUUCAUGGGACCUCAAAAGAGCAAAAGACGCAGAAGCAAACAAGUGAGGGAUUUGACUUUUGGCUGUCAUCCUCGGUCCUCAGUGUUUGCAUUCCAAGAGGAAGUCCUGUGCCUCGGGUCUGUUGUAGGACUUGAUUUCUUCCAACAAUGCAGUGUCAUGCUGUUAGAAAUGCACCAGGCUUAGAAUCACAAGUGCCAAGCUGGCUCUCAGGCUGACUUGGGCUCCCACCAGAGGGGGGAAAAACCCUUGUAGUGUAUUUACCUCACAGAGCUUCCUCGUCCUCAUACAGCAUAGAAAGGAGUGGGACCAGAUAAUUUGCCACGAAAGUCUGAAACCUGAUGGAAUUCUAGAAAGAAAGAUGAAGAAUAACAAAGGAAGAAGUGAAGAGAAAAAAAUAACACAGAAGGGUCCAAAGAACUUCUGAGACUGCCUUUUGCCUUUCUGUUGGUGUCCCAGCACUGCUUCUGUUCUUAGGUCCACAAGUGUGUUUCCCUGUCAUUUGAGUAUCUAGUCAACUACCUGCUAUGAUUCUGCUAAGUGUUGGCCUUGCUAGACUCCUUGACCCCCUGCUGUUCUCCACGUGCUUCUAUGAGGGUAACUAUGAUGAAAAUAGGGCAGAAUUUAGUGUGAAGUAGCAUUGGCAACUGUAAUGUGUCCGUUUAACUUAUUUUUAUAGCACGUAGGCAAUCUUGUUAGUCUUAGCCAGUAGUUCACAUCUUUAUGAAAGCAUGCUUUCCCUGUCCAUUUGGUCCACACUAUCACCCUCUUUUAGGCCAUCCCAAAUCCCACCUAGUGUAAUAAUAAUAGAUUAUGAAAACAGAUGCGUAACAAUUCCCUGUACAGCAGUCAGGUGUAUAUGCUCUCUCUCUCUCUCCCUUAGCUUCUUUUUCUGUGAUUUGACUUUUCACAAAGAGAAGGCAACUCUGGAAAUACAAUCCCUUUGUUCUAAAGGCAUCCUGAACCAUCCGUUCUCAACCCUUUGACAAGACUAGUGAAGUUGUUUUCUGUAUCUUUUGCUUCAUCUGUCUCUUUGCAGUGACCUAGGAGUUCAAGUGUAAGUUGUUUUCAUUGUUGAACUGAAUAUUUAUAUACUUGGUAUGCUUUUCAUGUGUUAUUUAAUUCUGUAUUAUUUCUUAUAUUUGUAUUAAAAUACUGAGCAAUUAAAAGUGUCAACUAAAUACAUACUUGAUGUGUGGCAUUCCCUUGAGA